GCGUCCGCGAGGCAUAAGCCGCUUAUAAGGCCCUCUCUACCUCCUUAUCCUUCCCUACUCUAUUUCUCUCCCUCUCCUUCUCCUCCUCCUUUCUCUCCCCUCUCCUCCCACCUCCUCCUCCCUCUCUCCCCUCUCCACCCACCUUCCUCCCUCCCUCCCUCCCUCCCCUUCCCCCUUUCCUCCUCUCCUCAUCCCCCUCUCCCCUCUCCUCCUCCCCACUCCUCCUCCCCCCCCCCCCCCCCCCCCCCCCCCCCCCCCCCCCCCCUCCACCCCCCCCCCCCCCCCCCCCCCCCCCCCCCCCCCCCCCCCCACCCCCCCCCCCCCCCCCCCCCCCCCCCCCCCCCCCCCCCCUCCCCCCCCCCCCCCCCCCCCCCCCCCCCCCCCCCCCCUCCCCCCCCCCCCCCCCAACCCCCCCCCCCCCCCCCCCCCCCCCCCCCCCCCCCCCCUCCCCCCCCCCCCACCCCCCCCCCCCCCCCGCCCCCCCCCCCCCACCUCCCCCCCCCCUCCCCCCCCCCCCCCCCCUCCCCCUCCUCCUCCUCCUCCAGACAGCCCAGACGGUCCUCCUGUGGUCGCAGCCUUCCUGACCUGUUGGAUGCCUCAUAACAUCAUCGCCAUGUGGGUGGAGUUUGGAGGUUCCCGCUCAACGACGCCUCCUUCGCGUUACGGAUCUCUCCCCUGCCUGGCGUACGGGAACCCUGCAUCAACCCCAUCCUGUACGCCUUUCUGUCAGAGAACUCCGGAAGGCCUGUCGCCAGGGUGUUCACCGGUCGGUUUCUCUACCCCCACCCCCACAGAGAAGGUGGUGCGCAUCCGAAUGGAGAACUUCUCAACUACACACUCUAUUACCACUAAUAUCUGACACCACACACUCUAUUACCACUCAUAUCUGACACCACACAUUCUAUUACCACUCAAAUCUGACACCACACACUCUAUUACCACUAACAUCUGACACCACACAUUCUAUUCCCACUAAUAUCUGACACCACACCACACACUCUAUUACCACUAAUAUCUGACACCACACUCUCUAUUACCACUAAAUCUGACACCACACCACACACUCUAUUACCACUCAUAUCUGACACCAUGCACUCUACCACUAUCAUCUGACACCAUGCACUCUAUUACCACUAAUAUCUGACACCACACACUCUAUUACCACAAAUAUCUGACACCACUCCACACACCCUAUUACCAUUAUAUCUGACACCACACACUCUAUUACCUCUAAAUCUGCCACCACACAUUAUAUUACCACUAAUAUCUGACACCACACCACAAAACUGGGACAAGACUGGGACUGGAACAAGACUGGGACAAGACUGGGGCUGGAACAAGACUGGGACUGGGACAAGACUGGGACUGGGACAAGACUGGGAUAAGACUAGGGCUGGGCCAAGACUGGGGCUGGGACAAGACUGGGACUGGGACAAGACUGGGACUGGGACAAGACUGGGGCUGGGCCAAGACUGGGACUGGAACAAGACUGGGACAAGACUGGGGCUGGACAAGACUGGGACUGAGGGUGUGACUGGAACUGGGGCCUGGGGAUGGGACCCAGCAGAUUGCGACCUCCAACAGGUGAAGCAGCCAAACUGCAAGUCUACGUACUCUUCAAAUGCUGGAUUUGUUUCAUUUUUGAUUUUGUGACGAGACUUUUAAACACACAGACCUGAAACAGCCAAUGCAGACACACUCUUCAACUGAGGCCUGUGAUUGGUGAUACUGUUAAUCAGGGUGAUUUUGGAGAACUGAGACAUGGCACUGACUUAGAUGGGGAGAUUUGACUAAUUGAUUGGAUUCGGAUUGGAUUAGGCCUCACAAUCAAUUGAUACUGAUCAACUGUGAAAGCAGAUGAUCUUGAAGAUUUUUGAAUUACAGCCAGUGUUCAGCAAGACGCUUAAAUAUUCCAAACACACAGAUCUGGCAACACAGACAAACUCUUCAGCUUCUAAAACCUCUGAUUGAUGGAACUCUCCAUCAGGCUUACCUGACCACCACUGACUUACCUGACCACCACUGACUUACCUGACCACCACUGACUUACCUGACCGCCACUGACUCACCUGACCACCACUGACUUACCUGACCACCACUGACUUACCUGACGGCACACUCUUCCCUAUACAGUGCACUUAUAAUAGACUAUAAUCAAAGUCGUGCACUAAAUAGUGAAAGGGUGCCAUUUGGGACCUCGUCUUAAAAGUAGUAAUCGCUGAAGAGUUGACAGUUUAAAAUUAAAUUCAUUGUACUGUCAGACAGUCAGUUCAGAGUUUCAAUUUUCAACGAAGAGUAAAGUCAAGUAGAUCCUUCAACUCCUCCUCUACUUUUCCACUAGCUUACAGUUAUUAUAAAUGUUUUGUUCUGUUAUCUCUAACCUAAAAAAUAUUUCAUUUAAUAAAAAGCCUUGCAGGAAUACUGCUGGUAGUUUCUGUAAUGUUUCAUGUUCACCCUCCUUCCACAUUUCACAAUCAAAAAUCAUCAGUCAGGUGAGUCAUGUGGUCGGUGUCGGUGGGGUCAGGGAGUCAGUGGUGGGUCAGGUAAGUCAGUGGUGGUCAGGUAAGUCAGUGGUGUCAGGUAAGUCAGGGGUGGUCAGAGUCAGUGGUGGUCAGGUAAGUCAGUGGUGGUCAGGUGAGUCAGUGGUGGUCAGGUAAGUCAGUGGUGGUCAGGUAUCAGUGUGGUCAGGUAAGUCAGUGGUGUCAGGUGAGUCAUGGUGGUCAGUGUAAGUCAGU
ensembl:lncRNA